AUUUAAGUAGUUUAACAAUAAAAAUUUUGAUUUGUGGGGUCAAGGAUGUAGUAUUAUCUUAAAUA
rnacentral:tRNA from 1 species